rnacentral:rRNA from 1 species
GAUGAACGCUGGCGGCAUGCCUAAUACAUGCAAGUCGAACGGAAUGAAUUCUUCGGAUUUCAUUCAGUGGCGAACGGGUGAGUAAUACGCAGGGAACCUGGCCAUGGCAGGGGGAUACACUCUGGAAACGGAGCAUAAGACCCCAUAGGCAGAAGGGAGGCAUCUUCCUUCUGUUAAAGAAAGCUGAAAGGCUUUGGCGGUGGAUGGACCUGCGGUGCAUUAGCUGGUUGGUGAGGCAACGGCUUACCAAGGCGAUGAUGCAUAGCCGGCCUGAGAGGGCGGACGGCCACACUGGGACUGAGACACGGCCCAGACUCCUGCGGGAGGCAGCAGUAGGGAAUUUUCGUCAAUGGGCGCAAGCCUGAACGAGCAAUGCCGCGUGAGUGAGGAAGGUCUUCGGACUGUAAAGCUCUGUUGCCGGGGAAAAAGGGCAGAAGCAGGAAAUGGUUUCUGCUGGAUGGUACCCGGCCAGAAAGCCACGGCUAACUACGUGCCAGCAGCCGCGGUAAUACGUAGGUGGCGAGCGUUAUCCGGAAUGAUUGGGCGUAAAGGGUGCGCAGGCGGUCUGUUCAGUCUGAAGGCAAAGGGAUGAGCUCAACUCGUCUUUCAUUCAGAAACUGGCAGACUUGAGGACAGGAGAGGGCGGUGGAACUCCAUGUGUAGCGGUAAAAUGCGCAGAGAUAUGGAAGAACACCAGUGGCGAAGGCGGCCGCCUGGCCUGUGACUGACGCUGAGGCACGAAAGCGUGGGGAGCAAAUAGGAUUAGAUACCCUAGUAGUCCACGCCGUAAACGAUGAGGAGCAGGUGUUGGGAGUGAAAUCUCAGUGCCGAAGCCAACGCAGUGACUCCUCCGCCUGGGGAGUAUGCACGCAAGUGUGAAACUCAAAGGAAUUGACGGGGGCCCGCACAAGCGGUGGAGUAUGUGGUUUAAUUCGAAGCAACGCGAAGAACCUUACCAGGUUUUGACAUCGGGUGCGAAGGUGCAGAGAUGCACUGGAGGUUAUCAUCCAGACAGGUGGUGCAUGGUUGUCGUCAGCUCGUGUCGUGAGAUGUUCAGUUAAGUCUGGCAACGAGCGCAACCCCCGUGGCAUGUUACUAACGCACAAUGGCGAGGACUCAUGUCAGACUGCCGGUGACAAACCGGAGGAAGGCGGGGAUGACGUCAAAUCAUCAUGCCCCUUAUGACCUGGGCUACACACGUACUACAAUGGCGUCUACAAAGGGUUGCGACCCUGUGAAGGGAAGCGAAACCGAUAAAAGGCGUCCCAGUUCGGAUUGAAGUCUGCAACCCGACUUCAUGAAGAUGGAAUCGCUAGUAAUCGCGGAUCAGCAUGCCGCGGUGAAUACGUUCCCGGGCC